rnacentral:misc_RNA from 1 species
AGCGCGCCCCGGCUUGAACGGAGCUCUUUUUUGUUUUUGCUAAAAACAAAAAAAGCGGGAGUGGAAGACGGAUAAAGGC